UUUGUGUCGAAUUUUAUUUUUUUGUGGUAGUGACCUAAUUGUUGACAAUCAAAUUCUUUAUUUUUUAUCUUACUGGUGUUACAUCAACGGUUAGGUAGAUGCUAAUGUAUAACUCAUGAUGAAAUUAUACAGGUACAAUGAGCUGUCAAACAUUUUUGGAAUAUAACAUUUUGAAUGAAAACUUAUCAGAAGGAGGAUCUUGAAACUUUCAGAUGCCGUUGAAAAAGAUAUUUCAGGCAUGAGCAAAAAAAAUUCUCUAAAAUAAGAAGGUUUCUUGGGAAAAACAGUUCGACAAUAUCAAUCAGCUGCAUUUGGAAUUAUCCACAGAACAUGGAAUGGAAGAAGUGGAUGACGAAUUAGAAGAGAUGGAGGAAAAAAUGAAUGCGAAAAUGUGCAAUGUUAUCGAAAAGAUAAUUGCCUUAAAAGAAGCCGCUCCUACAGUGAAAUUAAAAAGAAUACAAAUUCCAUUCUUCGAUGGAAAUGUGGAGGAGUGGAAUUCUUUCCCAGACUUAUUCAAAAAAGCCAUCGGAGGUACAAAAGCUAUACUACCUCAAAGCUAAGCUGAGAUGCGUUUCGUUUGGUGCAGCAUUUGCAAGUUACGGAUGCAAAUUAUAAGGCAGCGUGGGAAUUAUUAGAGAAACGCCCUAAUAAUAAAAAAAUAUUAUUCACGAAACUAAUAAAGUCUUGGAUCAUCCCAAUAUAAAUAGUCAAUCAGUUAUUCGAAAGUUAUUGGACAACGUGACUAAAAGCAAUGGAGAUAUCGCUAGAUCGUGCAGACCCGACUCUAGCAAGAAUUAUAAUAAAAAAACUGGAAAAGGAUGGUUCAAUAUGAGCAAAAUGUAAAAAAAAAAAAACAAAAGAUAUACAAAGUCUGGCGGAUGCGUUGGACUUUCUAGAAUAGCAAUAUCAAGCAUCGUUCCAGUCCCAUACACACAACUCGAUAGACUUGGAGUGACGGAGAGAAGACCAUGCAUUGUAACUUGCAGUUGGGUGAAGGCAGCCCAGUUGAGCCUUAAAUGUCUAAAGCACAGAAAAAAAUACUGCAGCUAUGGUAAAUGCCAGAAAUGUGGAUUGUUUCAUAGUACGGUAAUCCAUCUAGAGAAAACGAGCAACACCAAGGCAAAGACAGUCAAUACAGCUGGAAAUGUUCUCCUGGCUACUGCCCAAGUCCUUGCAUGGAGAAUACAUCACUCUAAGAGGCUUGAUAGAUCAAGGGUAGCAAGUAUCAUCUGUAUCCGAAGAUGCAGCACAACUACUACAGCUGCCUAAAUUGAAGACAGACGUGAUAUUAAGAGGUCUAGGUGAAACCAUGGUGGAUAUUAUUGAUGAUAAGGCCAAGAUUUCUCAGCGAUACCAAAAUCAAAGCAGAGGCACUAGUUCUACCGAAGCUACCAUCAGCACAUCCGGAUAACAACUUCAAAUACAACAUUGGAUUUAGCGAUUCCUAACAUUAAUAAGUCGAUCUGGUAAUUGGGAGUGACCUAUUUCCAUAAAUAUUGGAAGACGGAGUUCGUCACGACGAGGCGAUUGUGACACAAAGUUAAGAUGGAUUCUAUUGGGGACAAUACAAUUGAAGCCAGCAAGGAAUAGCAUAAGGUGUGCUCUUACAACAACAAUUGAGCGUUUUUGGGAGAGAUAGAAUCGAAGAGACAUUCGCAGAAGAUAAUUUUUGACCAAAAUUUUUUUUGAUCGAUGAAUCAUCAAUCACCUAAAAAUAAUCGUAGGCGAUAUGAAGAAAUUAGCACGGUGCUUGCCCCAUUAGAAACGGUUUUAAACUCGAGACCAUUACACGACCCAGAUAGCAGCCCGGAACACAUCGAAACUUUAACACCAGGCCAUUUUAUAAUUGGACGUCCAUUAUUAGAGGCUCCGACAAUAAUCGAAGAAGGAAGCUUAGCAGGCGUUAACAGAUGGAAACAAAUGCUUAGAAUAAAAAAUCACUUCUGGAGAAAAUGGAAUGAUGAAUAUUUGAUGAUCGUACGAAAUGGAUGAAGAAGGAUAGAAAUCUAAAAGUGGGUCAAGUAGUAAUCAUUAAAAAUUAAGAUACACAUUCAGCUCGUUGGCCAUUGGCGAAAGUGACAGAUGUACAACCGGGAAAGGAUGGGGUUGUAAGAGACUGUGAAAACACACGACGGCGAAUUAAAGAUACCAAUAAAUAAAAUAUGACCAUUAGAUCACGCAGAUAAAAUAUCAGAAGAUUACCGAAGCUAAUGCGAAAUACUGUAAUGAUGCUGACCAUGAUUAUGAAUCAUUGUUUGGUAAUGUAGACUAAGGCCUCUUCCGUCCAUCGAUGAAGGAAUGAAAUAACAUCCCAAUUUCACUCUAUACUUUUAAAGAACGUGAGUCAGGCAGGAAAGGAUGUCAUAAAAUCCCUAGGCAAUGUGCUAGUCAAUCAUCAUGAAAAGAUAAACAAACUAAGGAUGCUAGUGGAUGAUUUGAAGAAGGGGAACAUCGAGUUAAGAGAUUACUUGUCCGGACACUUUGCAUUUAUUUAAUAAUAAUAAUAUCAAUAAUUCUCAUAAUUUUAUUUAUAAAAAAUGAUAAUUAGGAAACAUAUUGCUGCUAUACAAUUUCCAGUGGUACCGAAUGUCUAGAUAAUCACCCUUAUUACGGCUGGCGUAGUCGUAUCGAAAAUAGCAAGUAGACGCGUCGUAACGACUAAUUGGUAUUAUGUGUGUCGUAUGCGAGAAAUUACAACUCUGUAUGAAAUUCUGUUACAAUUUUCGUACCACAAGACGCGUUCUAAUUCGACAAACACUGCAAAAUUAGUCGUUAGAGAUUUUGUUGCCGACAACACAGAAAAGUUUUUCCAAAUUGACAUUACAACAGAAUAAUAUACAAAAUGGAUUUGAAUAAGAAAUUUAAAGUCACAACGAAGAAACAAUUUGACGAAAUGAUCCAGAUCUUGCAAAUGAAUCAAAAUUUGGCUAGUUACAACAAUGGCUUGAAAAUAUUAACAUCAAGGAAGAAUGGAACAAAAUUGGUGCAAAACUCAAUAUCCUAGGACCGCGGGUUCGAACAGGCGAGGCUUGUAUGAAAGUCGGGGCCGAAUACAAAUUGAGAAAAAAGCUAGUUCAUAAUAAGGCAGAAUGUCGUGCUACAAGUGGAGGGCCCUUCAAGCAGUUCAUUUUAAGCUACACGGAGGAAGCAGCAUCACGCUUGUUACAAUUAGAAACAAUUGUAAAUGCAGGGAACCAAGCAAUUUGAAUUCAACAGCGUCCAAUACUUGGUGAACUGGAGACUGAGGAGGAACUAUUUGAAGGGUUUAAAAUUAGUGAAGACAAAGAAAACCACAAUCCCUGCACACUGACUCCUCCAAGCGUAAACAGAAGCAGGUUGUGGUCAUCCAGGAUGUCUGUGCGCUUCCCUCUGUAAGCACAAAUAACCCGCAUUAUUUUUCGCCUCACGUUUAAAUCAUUUUGAAUAUACUCAUCUUCAUACUCAGCUAAACAAUUGCCAGGACUUAACAUAUUUCAAUAUUUAAUUAAACAAAUAAUCGUUUUACUUCAACCAUUUCAACUGACGCUUUUAUUUUUUUUAACCGGGUAGCUCGUAAAUUCAAAAAAUGUUUAUUAUUCCAGAGCACCCUGCUUUUUCAUAUCUAUUACAAAAAAGACGUAGUCGAAAAUUGUACAUAAUACCAAACAUUUCUAGUUACGACAACGCCUACGACUACGUCUACGACACUUGAACGCCUACGACAACGCCAACCAUAAUAAGGGUGAUUCAA